CUCGUCAUCUAGUUCUCUUUCAAGUAUCUGCUAUCUUAUUCCUGUGCUGAUGAGAUACUUUUAUUUUCUUCUGCAAAGCAAGUGUUGAUGGAGUAGUACAGCAGCCACAAGCAUUUGAUUCAUCAUGAUUUGUUUAGUGUAGUUGAUCAUGUCCUGAUGCAAUUUUCUUGUAUUUCGUUUGCUGUAGUGUUGUUUUCUUGAUUUAACGUGUUUAAAUAGUUGAUCAGCGUGCUAGUAUUUGUUUUUGGAGUAGUUCCGUGUGUAGCACACAAGCAAGAAUCUGAUUCGUGACAAUUCUUUUAAUUACGAGCUCUAGUAUAUAAAGGCUGUUAACUUGCUAUGGUCUGCUUCAUUUGAGUGUAUUAAUCAUGCAACUUUUGAUGUUAAGAGUGUUGUCCAUAUCUACACCUAAUUAGUUACAUAAACUGGAAUACUCAAUGGUAGCUUCCUAACAUAAUAUCUUACUAUAAAUUCUGUGUUGUUUUCCAUGAUCUGUAUAUGUAGUGAUGUAGUGCUGCCCAUGCAUUCUUUACUAGGAAUUCUCUGGCUGUUUUCUCCGUAACCUAGCCGGCCAUGUAUUUUUAUAAUACUGUUCUUGACCAUACUCCUUUGUUUAUUUCAGCAAGGCCUCGAAGUCUAGUGCUUCCAUGAGGUGCCCAGGUUCCCACGGUUCAGGCAUGAAAGUGACUAUCCGUCAGCUCUGCAUCAAGUGCUAUUAUGUGUGUUGUCUCUUAGGGGGUUACCAGUUGGUGGAGCUGGCUAGGAGGUAGCCAUGGUCGUUAGAUCUGCCCGGUUGGCAGGAGUGGCCUUCGUCUUCUACUUGGUGGGUUUAGGAUAUCCAUGAGGAGGGCUAGAAUCUAGAUGGGAGCAAGGAACCUAGCUGCAGCGUGAUGCAUCAUCUGGAGGUAGGCUGGAAGAGACAAUGGAGGAAGCAGCCGACUUCAGUACACGGCUUGCUAUGUCUGUGCAGCAGCUAUUUUUAUUUACUCUAUAUGUAGUGUAAUGUAAUGCAACAUGGCCGGUAUUUCGGAUUCCGAAGAAUGUCGGUCGGUGUUGUAUGUAACCA